UACGGGGGGUGCAAGCGUUGUCCGGAAUCAUUGGGCGUAAAGAGUUCGUAGGUGGCACGUUAAGUCUGGUGUUAAAGGCGGAAGCUCAACUUCCGUAGGGCACUGGAUACUGGCGAGCUUGAAUGCGGUAGAGGUAAAGGGAAUUCCUGGUGUAGCGGUGAAAUGCGUAGAUAUCAGGAGGAACAUCGGUGGCGUAAGCGCUUUACUGGGCCGUAAUUGACACUGAGGAACGAAAGCCGGGGUAGCAAAUGGG
rnacentral:rRNA from 1 species